rnacentral:rRNA from 1 species
CCUUUGACGUUAGCGGCGGACGGGUGAGUAACACGUGGGUAACCUACCUAUAAGACUGGGAUAACUUCGGGAAACCGGAGCUAAUACCGGAUAAUAUUUCGAACCGCAUGGUUCGAUAGUGAAAGGUGGUUUUGCUAUCACUUAUAGAUGGACCCGCGCCGUAUUAGCUAGUUGGUAAGGUAACGGCUUACCAAGGCGACGACACGUAGCCGACCUGAGAGGGUGAUCGGCCACACUGGAACUGAGACACGGUCCAGACUCCUACGGGAGGCAGCAGGC